GUGGGGAAUAUUGGACAAUGGGCGAAAGCCUGAUCCAGCCAUGCCGCGUGUGUGAAGAAGGUCUUCGGAUUGUAAAGCACUUUAAGUUGGGAGGAAGGGCAGUAAGUUAAUACCUUGCUGUUUUGACGUUACCAACAGAAUAAGCACCGGCUAACUUCGUGCCAGCAGCCGCGGUAAUACGAAGGGUGCAAGCGUUAAUCGGAAUUACUGGGCGUAAAGCGCGCGUAGGUGGUUUUGUAAGUUGGAGGUGAAAUCCCCGGGCUCAACCUGGGAACUGCCUACAAAACUGCAUGACUAGAGUACGGUAGAGGGUAGUGGAAUUUCCUGUGUAGCGGUGAAAUGCGUAGAUAUAGGAAGGAACACCAGUGGCGAAGGCGACUACCUGGACUGAUACUGACACUGAGGUGCGAAAGCGUGGGGAGCAAACAGGAUUAGAUACCCUAGUAGUCC
rnacentral:rRNA from 1 species